AUUGAACGCUGGCGGCAUGCUUUACACAUGCAAGUCGAACGGUAACAGGCCGCAAGGUGCUGACGAGUGGCGAACGGGUGAGUAAUGCAUCGGAACGUGCCCAGUCGUGGGGGAUAACGCAGCGAAAGCUGCGCUAAUACCGCAUACGAUCUGCGGAUGAAAGCGGGGGACCUUCGGGCCUCGCGCGAUUGGAGCGGCCGAUGUCAGAUUAGGUAGUUGGUGGGGUAAAGGCCCACCAAGCCGACGAUCUGUAGUUGGUCUGAGAGGACGACCAGCCACACUGGGACUGAGACACGGCCCAGACUCCUACGGGAGGCAGCAGUGGGGAAUUUUGGACAAUGGGCGCAAGCCUGAUCCAGCAAUGCCGCGUGCAGGAAGAAGGCCUUCGGGUUGUAAACUGCUUUUGUACGGAACGAAACGGCUCUGGUUAAUACCCGGGGCUAAUGACGGUACCGUAAGAAUAAGCACCGGCUAACUACGUGCCAGCCGCCGCCGUAA
rnacentral:rRNA from 1 species